CACGAUGAUGAUGACGAGAAGCAGUUGCGUUCUUCUUCAGAUUCCUGUUGGAAUUAAGAGCCAUUCUUGUAGGCAAAGCAUCAUGAUCUUCUGAUAUAGACGAAAGAGACGGUUUCCAAUCAGGAAAUGAACCAGCCGAUCUCGCUUUCACUCGUCUCCCUUGCUUCCUCCUUUUAUACAUAAUAUUAUUAUUAUUAUUAUUAUUAUCAGACGACGUUUCAGCAGCUGCAGGUACAAGAGGUCCCAUCUCCUCUGCUUCAACCUGUCGCACACGAUAUGAAGAACAGCCACAGCAGGCCACCAAUUCAACAAAAAACUUCAUAUUUACCGGGUAUGUAACGUAUAUAUAGUCUCGUUUAGAAAAAUAAAGAUUGGACGAAAGGUGUUUGAUAAAAUGUCUAUGAUAGAAGUGGUUUGAUCUCUCUCUUAAGAAAAAUAAAGAUUGUACGAAAGGUGUUUGAUAAAAUGUGUGAUAGAGAUGGUUUGUUUUUCUCUAGAUAUAUAUAACUAAUGUUAGGAUAGGAGAGUCACGUUCAGAAAAAUAAAGAUUGUAUGAAAGGUGUUUGAUAAAAUGUGUAUGAUAGAAGUAGUUUGGUUUUUUUUUUCCUAUCUACACAUCUCUGUUUUUCUCCGACUCUCUACAGCUGUCUAUCUCUUUC
rnacentral:lncRNA from 1 species